CAGCGAAAAAAUGGGUCCAUGGUUGCCUGAGUACAGAUAACAUAUGGUUAUCUGAUACUAAAGAUGAUGGCGAUUACAAGGUAUACUUCUCUGACCUUGGGUACAUACGAAGAUCAUGUAACAUUGAGGAUGGGGUGAUUGCUGAUGAAAGUUUUGUUGUCCCACAGGAUGAACAUGUGUACAGAAGAUCACCCCAGAGGUAAUACGAGAUGGUACCCACUCAUGGGCGAGUGAUGUCUUCAGUUUUGGUCUAAUCCUGUGGAGGGGCUCCU